rnacentral:rRNA from 1 species
GACGAACGCUGGCGGCGUGCCUAACACAUGCAAGUCGAACGGAAAGGCCCUGCUUUUGUGCGGUGCUCGAGUGGCGAACGGGUGAGUAACACGUCAGUAACCUGCCCUCGUCUUUGGGAUAACUUCAGGAAACUUAGGCUAAUACCGGAUAGGAGCUCCCGCUGCAUGGUGGGCGUUGGUAAGUUUCGGCGGUUGGGGAUGGACUCGCGGCUCAUCAGCUUGUUGAUGGGGUAGUUGCUUACCAAGGUUUUCAAGCCUAGCAGGCCUGAGUGGAGAACCCGCUACAUUGGGACUGAAAUGCGGCACGGACUCCAACGGGAGGCAGCACUGCAGAAGAGUACACAAGAGGCGGGAGCCUAAUGCGACAACGCCGCGUGGGGGAAGUAGGGCAUGGGGUAGUGAGCCGCUUCCGCCUGUGCUGAGGAGUUAAUGACGGUACUGGAUGAAGAAGCCCCGGCUAACUACGUG